AUUAGUCCUCGAUUAUUAAACUUGGACGGGAAACCAAUACAACGGUGAAAGAACAAGAAAGAGAACAUGACAAGUAACUCAAUACCAAACCUACCGUGAGAGUCUCGUUGUCCGUCACCGUCGGCGACCUGCUCCAGUUAGCGAAUCGAGUAAAGUUAAGGCUUAGCACGUGUAUUGCCGAAGUGUAGCUGGGAAUUAUUACGCAUUCAGAAGUAAUAAUUCCGCCACUCGUCGUCGCCUAAAACCAGAAAUUUUGCUCGGAGUCCGAGCCUCGGACAAGACGAAUUCGGCGGAAUUCUCACCCACCAGCGGAGAAUCCUCCGCUACUCGCCGUCGCCACCGUCUUCACCGCCGUCUUGGUGGAGAUUGAGGGAGACCCAGCAGUGCUUUUCGCUUUCGAAAAUUAUUGAUAGCGAGAAGCAGCGAGCCAGCGACAGCG
rnacentral:lncRNA from 1 species